AGAGUUUGAUCCUGGCUCAGGAUGAACGCUGGCGGCGUGCCUAACACAUGCAAGUCGAGCGAAGCGCCUUACUUGAUUUCUUCGGGAUGAAAGUAUUGUGACUGAGCGGCGGACGGGUGAGUAACGCGUGGAUAACCUGCCUCAUACAGGGGGAUAACAGUUAGAAAUGACUGCUAAUACCGCAUAAGACCACAGCACCGCAUGGUGCAGGGGUAAAAACUCCGGUGGUAUGAGAUGGAUCCGCGUCUGAUUAGCUAGUUGGUAAGGUAACGGCUUACCAAGGCAACGAUCAGUAGCCGACCUGAGAGGGUGACCGGCCACAUUGGGACUGAGACACGGCCCAAACUCCUACGGGAGGCAGCAGUGGGGAAUAUUGCACAAUGGGGGAAACCCUGAUGCAGCGACGCCGCGUGAGCGAUGAAGUAUUUCGGUAUGUAAAGCUCUAUCAGCAGGGAAGAUAAUGACGGUACCUGACUAAGAAGCACCGGCUAAAUACGUGCCAGCAGCCGCGGUAAUACGUAUGGUGCAAGCGUUAUCCGGAUUUACUGGGUGUAAAGGGAGCGUAGACGGAUGGGCAAGUCUGAUGUGAAAACCCGGGGCUCAACCCCGGGACUGCAUUGGAAACUGUUCAUCUAGAGUGCUGGAGAGGUAAGUGGAAUUCCUAGUGUAGCGGUGAAAUGCGUAGAUAUUAGGAGGAACACCAGUGGCGAAGGCGGCUUACUGGACAGUAACUGACGUUGAGGCUCGAAAGCGUGGGGAGCAAACAGGAUUAGAUACCCUGGUAGUCCACGCCGUAAACGAUGACUACUAGGUGUGGGGGUUUCAACACCUCCGUGCCGCCGCUAACGCAUUAAGUAUUCCGCCUGGGGAGUACGACCGCAAGGUUGAAACUCAAAGGAAUUGACGGGGACCCGCACAAGUAGCGGAGCAUGUGGUUUAAUUCGAAGCAACGCGAAGAACCUUACCUACACUUGACAUCCCUUGCAUUACUCUUAAUCGAGGAAAUCCCUUCGGGGACAAGGUGACAGGUGGUGCAUGGUUGUCGUCAGCUCGUGUCGUGAGAUGUUGGGUUAAGUCCCGCAACGAGCGCAACCCUUGUCGUUAGUUACUACCAUUAAGUUGAGGACUCUAGCGAGACUGCCUGGGUUAACCAGGAGGAAGGUGGGGAUGACGUCAAAUCAUCAUGCCCCUUAUGUGUAGGGCUACACACGUGCUACAAUGGCUGGUACAGAGAGAUGCAAUACCGCGAGGUGGAGCCAAACUUAAAAACCAGUCUCAGUUCGGAUUGUAGGCUGAAACUCGCCUACAUGAAGCUGGAAUCGCUAGUAAUCGCGAAUCAGAAUGCCGCGGUGAAUACGUUCCCGGG
rnacentral:rRNA from 1 species